rnacentral:rRNA from 1 species
UGGGGAAUAUUGGACAAUGGGCGAAAGCCUGAUCCAGCCAUGCCGCAUGAGUGAAGAAGGCCUUUGGGUUGUAAAGCUCUUUUAGUGAGGAAGAUAAUGACGGUACUCACAGAAGAAGUCCUGGCUAACUCCGUGCCAGCAGCCGCGGUAAUACGGAGAGGGCUAGCGUUAUUCGGAAUUAUUGGGCGUAAAGGGCGCGUAGGCUGGUUAAUAAGUUAAAAGUGAAAUCCCGAGGCUUAACCUUGGAAUUGCUUUUAAAACUAUUAAUCUAGAGAUUGAAAGAGGAUAGAGGAAUUCCUGAUGUAGAGGUAAAAUUCGUAAAUAUUAGGAGGAACACCGGUGGCGAAGGCGUCUAUCUGGUUCAAAUCUGACGCUGAAGCGCAAAGGCGUGGGGAGCAAACA